rnacentral:rRNA from 1 species
AACGCGAAGAACCUUACCUGGGUUGAACUACAGGAGAAAAGCGGUAGAGAUACCGUGUGCUUCGGCGUUCCUGAUAGGUGUUGCAUGGCUGUCGUCAGCUCGUGUCGUGAGAUGUUGGGUUAAGUCCCGCAACGAGCGCAACCCUUGUCCUAUGUUGCCAGCGGAUAAUGCCGGGGACUCAUAGGAGACUGCCGGGGUCAACUCGGAGGAAGGUGGGGACGACGUCAAGUCAUCAUGGCCCUUAUGCCCAGGGCUGCAAACAUGCUACAAUGGCCGGUACAGAGGGCUGCUAACCCGUGAGGGUGUGCGAAUCCCUUAAAGCCGGUCUCAGUUCGGAUCGUAGUCUGCAACUCGACUGCGUGAAGCCGGAGUCGCUAGUAAUGGCAGAUCAGCAAUGCUGCCGUGAAUACGUUCCCGGGCCUUGUACACACCGAGACGAC